GAGGGUAUAGCUCAGUGGUAGAGUGUGUGCUUAGCAUGUACAAGGCCCUGGAUUCAAUCCCCAGUACCUCCA
rnacentral:tRNA from 1 species